rnacentral:rRNA from 1 species
AGCAACAAAUGCCCUGCUUCCAGGAAAAGCCUCUAAGCAUCAGGUAACAUCAAAUCGUACCCCAAACCGACACAGGUGGUCAGGUAGAGAAUACCAAGGCGCUUGAGAGAACUCGGGUGAAGGAACUAGGCAAAAUGGUGCCGUAACUUCGGGAGAAGGCACGCUGACACGUAGGUGAAGUGAUUUACUCAUGGAGCUGAAGUCAGUCGAAGAUACCAGCUGGCUGCAACUGUUUAUUAAAAACACAGCACUGUGCAAACACGAAAGUGGACGUAUACGGUGUGACGCCUGCCCGGUGCCGGAAGGUUAAUUGAUGGGGUCAGCGCAAGCGAAGCUCCUGAUCGAAGCCCCGGUAAACGGCGGCCGUAACUAUAACGGUCCUAAGGUAGCGAAAUUCCUUGUCGGGUAAGUUCCGACCUGCACGAAUGGCGUAAUGAUGGCCAGGCUGUCUCCACCCGAGACUCAGUGAAAUUGAACUCGCUGUGAAGAUGCAGUGUACCCGCGGCAAGACGGAAAGACCCCGUGAACCUUUACUAUAGCUUGACACUGAACAUUGAGCCUUGAUGUGUAGGAUAGGUGGGAGGCUUUGAAGUGUGGACGCCAGUCUGCAUGGAGCCGACCUUGAAAUACCACCCUUUAAUGUUUGAUGUUCUAACGUGGACCCGUUACCCGGGUUGCGGACAGUGUCUGGUGGGUAGUUUGACUGGGGCGGUCUCCUCCUAAAGAGUAACGGAGGAGCACGAAGGUUGGCUAAUCCUGGUCGGACAUCAGGAGGUUAGUGCAAUGGCAUAAGCCAGCUUGACUGCGAGCGUGACGGCGCGAGCAGGUGCGAAAGCAGGUCAUAGUGAUCCGGUGGUUCUGAAUGGAAGGGCCAUCGCUCAACGGAUAAAAGGUACUCCGGGGAUAACAGGCUGAUACCGCCCAAGAGUUCAUAUCGACGGCGGUGUUUGGCACCUCGAUGUCGGCUCAUCACAUCCUGGGGCUGAAGUAGGUCCCAAGGGUAUGGCUGUUCGCCAUUUAAAGUGGUACGCGAGCUGGGUUUAGAACGUCGUGAGACAGUUCGGUCCCUAUCUGCCGUGGGCGCUGGAGAACUGAGGGGGGCUGCUCCUAGUACGAGAGGACCGGAGUGGACGCAUCACUGGUGUUCGGGUUGUCAUGCCAAUGGCACUGCCCGGUAGCUAAAUGCGGAAGAGAUAAGUGCUGAAAGCAUCUAAGCACGAAACUUGCCCCGAGAUGAGUUCUCCCUGAGACUUAAAGUCUCCUGAAGGAACGUUGAAGACGACGACGUUGAUAGGCCGGGUGUGUAAGCGCAGCGAUGCGUUGAGCUAACCGGUACUAA